AUGCAAACAGAGAAAGGAACACAAUGUAAUUAUGAAAAUGUAAUUAUGAAAUGCAGAAAUGUCUGAUGUAAGGAGUGGUAACUCAAUUACCUAGGCUAGGAGCAUCUCUUCUAAACUAAAGCUAAAGUAUACAUAGGGCUGGGCGAUAUAUUGUAAGAUUCUUAUGCUCUCAGUUUCUCAAUGACUAAAUGCCGCCACAUUCGAAAGCUAGAGGGCGCUCUAGCGCAGUAACUCCGAAUAUGGGAAACGGAAGAAGAGCAAUAAGUUCCAGGAAAUGCCUGUGGUCAUAUUCUAUCGCUGUUCUUCAAACCUUUUCAGAUAUUUUCAUGAUAAUAAAGUUGAUUUAUAGUAAUGAUGAUAGACGAGUGUUGCUUUUUCAAAUACACGUUAUAAACGACUCAAUCUCGUAGUGAUUAUAGAUCAAGCAGACGGGCAGUACUUCCUACUGAUCAAACAGCCGUAGUUCACGGAAGAGCUGUGCAUAAAACAUCGAAUAGAUUUCAGAAUCGAUUUAGACAUGUAUAAUUAGCCUGAAUCGCGACACAAACUGCAUACAGCCCUUUUAAGUGGACAUCUAAAUCUCUAAAAAAUAUGUCUAAAAAUGCCCAAUCAUUCCCUAAGAACGAAAAAUUCUGAAUUGAGGAAGUAAAAAUGCAGGAAAUGCAUUUAUAUUUAUUCACCACAUGUGUGCUUCAAGACAUGAUAUAGCUCCUUCCACAGUUUAAAACAAAUGUUUUAGUUAUAACAACAUUGAGGCAAUCAUAGCUGGCAGCAUUACAAAAGACCUUACUGCUGUUGGAUCACACUGCUUUACUUUGCAAAGAUGACACCACAUGAGAUGUUUGCUUUGUAUGGUGGUUGGCUGCGCUACAUCUUGUUCUGUGUGUGGGUCAUCAACAUCUGUCUGAUAUUUUAUAUAUAUCAUCUGCAAAAGCAUCUGAACAAGAUAACUGAAAAAUACAAAACUGACCAUGACAAUAUUUAAAUAAGCAGGACUAUGAUAGCCUGAAAACAUCAGGUGGCUGAAAAUGAAUGUACGUACACCAGAGCAAGCUAAUUUAAUCUUUCAAACUGAUACGAUGUAAAACUUGUUUUAUUAUGUUUUAAUAAAUCUCACAUAAUAAAGGUUCACUUAGAAUGAUUUAACCCUUGAUUUUGUGCUAUGAGUAAACUUGAAACUAUAUUUUUAGACCUUCUUUCUAAAUGUGAAUUUUGUCAAUGUUUUGGAUGCUAACAUACUAAAAGCCAAAAAAACUUUAUUUUUGACUUGCAAUUUCAUUAAUGAAUGUUUGAACUAAAAAAGCAUUGCACAGAAUACAUCCACAAAAAUGCCUAUUUGUAUUAACAAAAUAAUGGCAUUUUGCGUUUACCAAACUGGUUAUAUUUACACAUAAAAGUGAAAGUGACCUAUUUGUCAUAUAUGGUGACCCAUACCCGAAAUGUGACCUCUGUAAUUAACCCAUCCAGUGAGUAGUGAACACACGCACUGCAAGUAGUGAACACACGCACUGAAAGUUGUGAACACACAUACACCCGGAGCAGUGGGCAGCCAUCACUGCAGUGCUCGGGGAACGUUCAAUGAGGAACUAGCAGCAGUGUUGGUGCAAAAUAUGCAACAGGGUGUUACAA